GCGAUACAGGGUGACAGCCCCGUACACAAAAAUGCACAUGCUGUGAGCUCGAUGAGUAGGGCGGGACACGUGGUAUCCUGUCUGAAUAUGGGGGGACCAUCCUCCAAGGCUAAAUACUCCUGACUGACCGAUAGUGAACCAGUACCGUGAGGGAAAGGCGAAAAGAACCCCGGCGAGGGGAGUGAAAAAGAACCUGAAACCGUGUACGUACAAGCAGUGGGAGCACGCUUAGGCGUGUGACUGCGUACCUUUUGUAUAAUGGGUCAGCGACUUAUAUUCUGUAGCAAGGUUAACCGAAUAGGGGAGCCGAAGGGAAACCGAGUCUUAACUGGGCGUUAAGUUGCAGGGUAUAGACCCGAAACCCGGUGAUCUAGCCAUGGGCAGGUUGAAGGUUGGGUAACACUAACUGGAGGACCGAACCGACUAAUGUUGAAAAAUUAGCGGAUGACUUGUGGCUGGGGGUGAAAGGCCAAUCAAACCGGGAGAUAGCUGGUUCUCCCCGAAAGCUAUUUAGGUAGCGCCUCGUGAAUUCAUCUCCGGGGGUAGAGCACUGUUUCGGCAAGGGGGUCAUCCCGACUUACCAACCCGAUGCAAACUGCGAAUACCGGAGAAUGUUAUCACGGGAGACACACGGCGGGUGCUAACGUCCGUCGUGAAGAGGGAAACAACCCAGACCGCCAGCUAAGGUCCCAAAGUCAUGGUUAAGUGGGAAACGAUGUGGGAAGGCCCAGACAGCCAGGAUGUUGGCUUAGAAGCAGCCAUCAUUUAAAGAAAGCGUAAUAGCUCACUGGUCGAGUCGGCCUGCGCGGAAGAUGUAACGGGGCUAAACCAUGCACCGAAGCUGCGGCAGCGACGCUGAUGCGUUGUUGGGUAGGGGAGCGUUCUGUAAGCCUGCGAAGGUGUGCUGUGAGGCAUGCUGGAGGUAUCAGAAGUGCGAAUGCUGACAUAAGUAACGAUAAAGCGGGUGAAAAGCCCGCUCGCCGGAAGACCAAGGGUUCCUGUCCAACGUUAAUCGGGGCAGGGUGAGUCGACCCCUAAGGCGAGGCCGAAAGGCGUAGUCGAUGGGAAACAGGUUAAUAUUCCUGUACUUGGUGUUACUGCGAAGGGGGGACGGAGAAGGCUAUGUUGGCCGGGCGACGGUUGUCCCGGUUUAAGCGUGUAGGCUGGUUUUCCAGGCAAAUCCGGAAAAUCAAGGCUGAGGCGUGAUGACGAGGCACUACGGUGCUGAAGCAACAAAUGCCCUGCUUCCAGGAAAAGCCUCUAAGCAUCAGGUAACAUCAAAUCGUACCCCAAACCGACACAGGUGGUCAGGUAGAGAAUACCAAGGCGCUUGAGAGAACUCGGGUGAAGGAACUAGGCAAAAUGGUGCCGUAACUUCGGGAGAAGGCACGCUGAUAUGUAGGUGAAGUCCCUCGCGGAUGGAGCUGAAAUCAGUCGAAGAUACCAGCUGGCUGCAACUGUUUAUUAAAAACACAGCACUGUGCAAACACGAAAGUGGACGUAUACGGUGUGACGCCUGCCCGGUGCCGGAAGGUUAAUUGAUGGGGUCAGCGCAAGCGAAGCUCUUGAUCGAAGCCCCGGUAAACGGCGGCCGUAACUAUAACGGUCCUAAGGUAGCGAAAUUCCUUGUCGGGUAAGUUCCGACCUGCACGAAUGGCGUAAUGAUGGCCAGGCUGUCUCCACCCGAGACUCAGUGAAAUUGAACUCGCUGUGAAGAUGCAGUGUACCCGCGGCAAGACGGAAAGACCCCGUGAACCUUUACUAUAGCUUGACACUGAACAUUGAGCCUUGAUGUGUAGGAUAGGUGGGAGGCUUUGAAGUGUGGACGCCAGUCUGCAUGGAGCCGACCUUGAAAUACCACCCUUUAAUGUUUGAUGUUCUAACGUUGACCCGUGAUCCGGGUUGCGGACAGUGUCUGGUGGGUAGUUUGACUGGGGCGGUCUCCUCCUAAAGAGUAACGGAGGAGCACGAAGGUUGGCUAAUCCUGGUCGGACAUCAGGAGGUUAGUGCAAUGGCAUAAGCCAGCUUGACUGCGAGCGUGACGGCGCGAGCAGGUGCGAAAGCAGGUCAUAGUGAUCCGGUGGUUCUGAAUGGAAGGGCCAUCGCUCAACGGAUAAAAGGUACUCCGGGGAUAACAGGCUGAUACCGCCCAAGAGUUCAUAUCGACGGCGGUGUUUGGCACCUCGAUGUCGGCUCAUCACAUCCUGGGGCUGAAGUAGGUCCCAAGGGUAUGGCUGUUCGCCAUUUAAAGUGGUACGCGAGCUGGGUUUAGAACGUCGUGAGACAGUUCGGUCCCUAUCUGCCGUGGGCGCUGGAGAACUGAGGGGGGCUGCUCCUAGUACGAGAGGACCGGAGUGGACGCAUCACUGGUGUUCGGGUUGUCAUGCCAAUGGCACUGCCCGGUAGCUAAAUGCGGAAGAGAUAAGUGCUGAAAGCAUCUAAGCACGAAACUUGCCCCGAGAUGAGUUCUCCCUGACUCCUUGAGAGUCCUGAAGGAACGUUGAAGACGACGACGUUGAUAGGCCGGGUGUGUAAGCGCAGCGAUGCGUUGAGCUAACCGGUACUAAUGAACCGUGAGGCUUAACCUU
rnacentral:rRNA from 1 species